UUACCUGUCCAGUGCAAUCAAAUCACUAAAGGUGAAGGAAAUUAGAUAUAAAGUUCAGAUUCAACUUUAGAUUUCUCUUUGCGGAUUCCCAGAGUCUUCUCAGACACCCGGGUGUGGUUUCCGGGAAAGGGGAUCUAUCAUUGAGCAGCUGGAGAAGGAGGCUCAGAGGACUCUAAUGCCUUCUCUCAAGAUUGGGACAUGCUGUGCCCCAAUCCUCCUCUCCUUCCUGAGGAGUCUAACUGAUGAGCAAGUCCCAUGUCUUUCUCCAACCUCACAUACAACAACUCUGAAUUUAUAGUCAUAGUGCACCUUCUAACCACAAAUGCGAUUUCAAACACUACACCUAACCCUAACAUCACCGUAACCACACCCCUAACUCUUCCUGUAAAUCAAGAACAAAAUGGCUCAUGUACUUGCUAAUAGCUUAAUUAAAUACACUUUUAUUUUCCCUAACAUGGCUAUCUAGUGACUCCACUAACUCAACACCAGUGUGCAGCUAAAAUAUGUUUCCUUUCUUUUCUUUUCUCUAGCCAAUGGAGAGUGAUUCAGCAUGGCAUGAAAAAUAACGUAAGUCUCUCCACAUAAGGUUCUGGUCAAAAGUAGUGCGCUAUAUAGGGAAUGGUGUCAUGGAAUUGCUUGAUUGACAAAAACAUUACUCUGUUUGUUGGCCAUAGCUCACAUUCGAGCAGCUCUCCAUGCUGUGUCUGAAGAUUGUUAAGGUCGUGACCCAGACAGCCCUCCGCAUUCUCCUACCAGCGCUAGCUCGUAUCAUGGGUGUGGACCUGAGGAGUGGGGCAGCCUCCCCAGAAUCCCAGUGCUCUCUGACAGGGUCUGAGGAUUCCUUAGGCAGUCUGGAUGAGCGAGAGAAAAGGCUGCUGAUCAGUGAGAUGAACUACUGGACUAAGGAGAGGAGGAGGAAUGGCAGUGCAGGGUGCCGCCAAAAAUCCACUCGCAGAACCUCAUCACCAUGCUGGUCGCCUAAGAGUUCCCAGACCUCAUUGCAGAGUUUGCCAGCAACUAGAGAGGCUCCCCUCAUGGAGGAGCCUCUGAAAGCUCUCUUUGGGGUAACGGAAGAGAGCCUCCUGAUAUCCCUGGUUGAGGGUCACUCCAACCCCACCUCCUCCAGCUCUUCCGAGUUGAGCUAUGCUAUCGCGGGGGAGGUAGUACACCAGCUUAACUCUGGCCUCUCAGUGGCCAUUCAGGCCAGCUCGGGGAGUUGCCCCCCUAUGGACAGUCAGGACAUAGCAGCAGGCAAGGAGGUCAUUCGGGUAGCCUCGGUGCAGAUCCUGGCCGAGCUACAGAGCCAAACGUCUGAGCCAGAGUGGGUAGGGUUUAUCGAGCCCCUCAUGGACCCUGUGACCGAUGAUGUGCUGAAUGCCAUUGUCGGCACAAUGGACAAAAUGGCACAGGACUACAACAUCCUAUUGGAUCUGGCCAAGAAGAUGACAAUCUUGGGGUCUAAAUUUCUGACCAAUCUUCAAUGUGACCUUGAUGUUGAGUGUCCAUCUGGGAAAGAAGGGACCACUCACUUUCUCAAAGAGACUGGAUCCUCUAGCAGUGUGGUGUCCAGAAAGCUUCAGACCCUCUCUAGCCCCGACUUUCAGUCUAAAGCCCUCAAGGCGGUGAGCACCAUCCUUACAAGGAAAGUCAGGAGCUCUUCUGGCGUGGCUCCUUCCUCUAGGCCUUCUAGUGCUGCUCCUAGCCUUACUGAAGCUCCCCUGAAUACCAGCUGCACAGCCCUGACAUCUGUAAGCUCCACUGCCACAGUGAUUGUUAAGGCAUUUGUGGGAGGCAUGGAGACGAUAGCAUCAUUUGAAGGCAAAUGUGAAGCAGUUGAUUGGCCAGUUCCUGUAAAUGACCACAAAACAGGGUUUUCACAGAAGAUAACCUUCUCUCCAGCCCGCACACUCUAUGGCCUUAUACGAGCAAAGCUGAGGGACCUUUUAACUCUAUCCGCUCGAAGGGAAGGUGUGGCUAAGGAUGCUUCUCUUCAGGAGUCUUCAGACACCCUGGAAAAGGCAACUGUUUCAACUGUUGAGGUCCAGUUACCCAGCACCAAACUUAGUAGAGUUCCCAGUGAGAGCCAACCAAUACCAGCUCUCUGUCUCUCCAAUCUGGAUAACAGCACUCAAGAAGUUCUUAGCAGUGUUUUUUCCAUCUACAAGUCAGAGUUAUCAAAAGUGGAGAGUAAAUGCUUGGCCGUUGUCAGUUCAUCUGAUGAGUCCCUAGAUGCUUGUUGGCUUGUUGAUGGUGUCCUAUCAAAGCUUGAUGACUAUACUAUUUCCCAGUCACCCUCACCCAAUGAAGACUUGAGUGUGAGUACUCAAUGUUCUCAACUGAGCUCAGAAGAGAGUAUCAGAAUCACACAGUCCUCUACUAGUCUGAUUCAGAGCAUUAAGAAGCUCUCUAGCAAUGACUUUCAGACUCAGGCAGAAGAGGCAGUGAGUAAAGUGCUGAUGAGAUCCAGUCAUUCCUUUAUCACACAGAUCAGCCAUACUGGUCUUCAGAAAAGUCUGCAGGCUGGCUUAUCAUCUAGCUCGCCAUCAGAGAUUGCCUCCAUGUCCUCUCAGAAUACAGCUCCUGGAUUAGUGGAAACCUUUGUCAAAGGAAUGGCGACUAUUUUCCAGAAAAAUGAGUCCACUGACACUGUGCUCCUGGAAAGAAGUGGGAGAGUUUUGCAGUGCUCCCACGGGGGCUCCCAACUGGAUGAUACUGAAUUGAGUGUUCAAAUAUCAGAAGAGAAGCUUUGGUCAACAGCUAAGACCAUCUGCGUCAAUAUGAAGAACAUACUUAAGGAUUUCUUCACAGGGCUGAAGCCAUCCGGAUCCGAAAGGACAGAAAAUGCUUCUUCCAAAGAGACCCUUGGGGAAAUCCUGGUUGCUAUCCAGAGUGAAAUCUCAAACUUAGGGCGAAUUAAGGAUUCCAGGGAGCUCCUUCAGAUCAACGAUAUGGUAGGAACUAUGCUGAAGGAGGUUGAGAAAAGUGAGCAUGACAGUGAACAAGUCUGCCAAGACAUCCCUAGAACCUGUUCAUCUUUGUCCACUUCUUU
rnacentral:lncRNA from 1 species